rnacentral:lncRNA from 1 species
AGCAUUUUUUUCAGUGAGUUCUUUUCGUAUAGAUGGUGUUUGUCAGUUUCUGUGUUCUUCCUUUCUGGUGUAUAAUCGUACAUGCGAAUAGUGUGAGUAGAAUGAUGUGUCCUAUUCGUGUUCAUUUGGUUGUGUAUUUACAAAAAGAUACUGCUUUUAAGUUCUUCUUGAUUGGUUUUGUCAGCAAGAAUUGACAACUAAUAGUGUUUGGCGAAAGGUGCUUUAUUAUAAUAAUGCAAUAAUAUACAAUUAUACCAAACAUGGUAUCAAUAAGCAACAAUGAACAAGUGUCAAUAUGAAGCACUUAACCC